rnacentral:lncRNA from 1 species
AGCUAUAACGUUACUAUAGAAGUCUAUGGGAAAACAUUUGGUUGUGUGUAACCUGUAGGUGACAGCACAGCCAAGCCCUAAUCGAAGAUUGCGAAUUGACUUUACCGGACUCUGGCAGUUGACGCUAUGAACAGCACUGUGAGCUCUACCUUGGAAGUUACGAGCAAAGGUGGUAUCGCGAGCUUUCUGCAUCCCUGAAUGGGAUGGUGGAGGUAUAUCGGCACUCAUGCACAGGACACGGAAAC